UGGGGAAUAUUGGACAAUGGGGGCAACCCUGAUCCAGCAAUUCUGUGUGCACGAAGAAGGUUUUCGGAUUGUAAAGUGCUUUCAGCAGGGAAGAAGAAAGUGACGGUACCUGCAGAAGAAGCGACGGCUAAAUACGUGCCAGCAGCCGCGGUAAUACGUAUGUCGCAAGCGUUAUCCGGAAUUAUUGGGCAUAAAGGGCAUCUAGGCGGCCCUGUAAGUCUAGGGUGAAAACCUGCGGCUCAACCGCAGGCCUGCCCCGGAAACUACAGGGCUAGAGUAUCGGAGAGGUGGACGGAACUGCACGAGUAGAGGUGAAAUUCGUAGAUAUGUGCAGGAAUGCCGAUGAUGGAGAUAGUUCACUGGACGGUAACUGACGCUGAGGUGCGAAAGCUAGGGGAGCAAACAGGAUUAGAUACCCUGGUAGUCCUAGCUGUAAACGAUGAUUACUGGGUGUGGGCAUGAAGAGUGUCCGUGCCGAAGCAAAUGCGAUAAGUAAUCCGCCUGGGGAGUACGGCCGCAAGGCUG
rnacentral:rRNA from 1 species